AUUGAACGCUGGCGGCAUGCUUUACACAUGCAAGUCGAACGGUAACAGGUUAAGCUGACGAGUGGCGAACGGGUGAGUAAUGCAUCGGAACGUGCCCGAUCGUGGGGGAUAACGCAGCGAAAGCUGCGCUAAUACCGCAUACGAUCUGAGGAUGAAAGCGGGGGACCGUAAGGCCUCGCGCGAUCGGAGCGGCCGAUGUCAGAUUAGGUAGUUGGUGGGGUAAAGGCUCACAAAGCCAACGAUCUGUAGCUGGUCUGAGAGGACGACCAGCCACAUUGGGACUGAGACACGGCCCAGACUCCUACGGGAGGCAGCAGUGGGGAAUUUUGGACAAUGGGCGAAAGCCGGAUCCAGCAAUGCCGCGUGCAGGAAGAAGGCCUUCGGGUUGUAAACUGCUUUUGUACGGAGCGAAAAGGUCUCCUCUAAUACAGGGGGCUCAUGACGGUACCGUAAGAAUAAGCACCGGCUAACUACGUGCCAGCAGCCGCCGUAA
rnacentral:rRNA from 1 species